GGGGAUGUGGCUCAGAGGUAGAGUGUUUGCCUGCUAUGCAUAAGGCAUUAGGUUCAAUCCCU
rnacentral:tRNA from 1 species